UGAAUACACAAAUGUUGCAUCCUGUAGUAUUAACAGACUGAGUUCAUUUUCAGUGUAAUUUCUUAGAUUACAAAAACACAGUCUAGACAAUGAGAUAAGAGCUACAAAAAAGAACAAAAAUAGAACAUAUAGAGUAACAGUGAUACGCUGUGACAUUUCGCAACAGAUUCUGCCGGUUUUUUUCUCUUUGUCUUUUCCAGAUCCGACGUGGGACGACUCCAGGACCUCCAACCAAACCAGACGCAACUCCAGCACUUAGGCGAAGACGAGGGACCGAGGAGAGAAGGAUGCCCAGAGACAAGCAGCAGAAGUGAGACGAGAGACGGGAAUGACUUUUAGGGAGCGUGGAGGAUGCACUGCGCCCAGCAGACGAAGAGAGACGAGUGAAGGGUUCAGGAAAUGAUGGAACCAGAUCCAGGACCAGCACAAGACAUGUCUGACAGCUCAAGAGCUCAGAAGGAUCAGAUCAGCACAAGUAACCAGAUGAGGAACCGUCCCAGAUGUGAAUCCAGAAACAUGGAGGACAGACGGUUUUUACUGUGACACAAAAGGUUUGCCUUGUUCUGGAUCUCCUUGUCUCUGAUGUGCAGUCGUCGUCCUGUCCUCCUCCACAGUGUCUCCUGCAUGCCGAGUGUCCGCCCUCCCUCUGCUGUCCUGUUUUGAAAGUUUUCCGCCUGACUAUAGGAGGUUGCUGGAGUCGACAUUUGUAACAAAUCGGCAGACUGUAAAUAAAAUGUCUUGUGGUUAAAUGCAA